rnacentral:rRNA from 1 species
AAUGAAAUAAAGUUUUCUAUAAAACAUAGAUAGGUAAUAAAGUUCUAGAUAAAAGAAUGAUAGAGACAAAUUUUUAUCUAACAGUCUUGACUAAAAUACGUGCCAGCAGUCGCGGCAAGACGUAGAAGACUGUGUUAUUCGUAUUUAAUAGGUUUAAAGGGUACCUAGACAGUUAAUUUUGCCUAAUUUAGGGACAAAUUAACUAGAGUUUUAUAAGAGAAGAUAGAACUUAUGGUGCAGAGAUUGAAUUUGAUUUAUAUUAAAAGGACUGUUAACGGCGAAGGCAAUCUUCUAUCUAAAAACUGACGUUGAGGGACGAAGGCUUGGGGAGCGAGAAGGAUUUGAUACCCCAGUAGUCCAAGCAGACAAUUAUGAGUGUCAUAGACUACUAAAAUAGUCUAUAAAUAAAAGUUUAAGCAUUCCACCUUAAGAGUAAUAUGGCAACAUUGAAACUUAAAUCAUUAGACCGUUUCUGAUAUCAGUAAUGAAGUAUGUUAUUUAAUUCGAUAACCCUCGAAAAACCUUACCACAAUUUGUAUAUUAUUAAAUUAAUACAGGUGCUGCACGGCUGUCUUAAGUUAAUGUUGUGAAGUUUGGUUAGUUCCACUAAUUAGCGUAAACCCUUAUUUUAUUUUUUAAUAAAAUUUAUUUAUCUUUUAGAUAAAUUAAUUGGGAUUCUGACAAGUCAUCAUG